GCAUAACUAAACUAGGUGAAGGUGACACAAGAGUCGCUGUGUAGAAAACUUGCUGCUUUCUGCAGACUCAAGUGAUCACACAUUUAAAUCACAGAGUGGCUGAAAAUAAAAUAGGUGUCAGUGAAUGAAAAUAUUUGACAAAAGCAGGCAAGCAGAUGACCAAGACUUAUGCUCAGAUCCCAUUCAGUGCUGUGCCAAAAUAAGAAGGGACAUCGUGUUGCUAAGAAGACAAGGACCUAGAAUGUGCACAUCCAAAGCUGACAGUCAGAAGUCAUGGUUUUUCACAACAAUCAGCAUUGAGGAAUUCCUGUGCAUGUGCAGUAAGGCAUCUCCCCUUGCACUUGCAUGGCAUAGGACAGGAUACUGAGGGACGUAUUCUUGUGAACAUCUGCGUUUGUUGAUUCAGUGUGUGUGGGAAGAGGAAGGGGGAAGCACAGAAAGCAUCUCAAAAAAAGAAAAGUUUACAUGGAAUUUUUGGAGUGAUCUGUCUUUCUGUUAAAAAGCUAGUUUUUUUCUUUUGAAACAAGCAGAGUAAGAUUUUGCACUUGCCUGCUGCAUCUGUUUUCUCAAGCAAAGACCUGUUUGUUUUUCCCAUUGUGUGUGAACCAUAUUUGAAACAGACCACUGAGCCAAGUUACAUCAAGUCUGUUUCUUUUCUACUUCUGAACUAUGACAGAUUAUCCUAACCCAU